CCUACGGGGGGCAGCAGUGGGGAAUAUUGGACAAUGGGGGCAACCCUGAUCCAGCCAUGCCGCGUGCGUGAAGAAGGCCUUAGGGUUGUAAAGCGCUUUCACUGGUGAAGAUGAUGACGGUAGCCAGAGAAGAAGCCCCGGCUAACUCCGUGCCAGCAGCCGCGGUAAUACGGAGGGGGCAAGCGUUGUUCGGAAUUACUGGGCGUAAAGGGCGCGUAGGCGGAACAUCAAGUUAGGGGUGAAAGGCCCGGGCUCAACCUGGGAACGGCCUCUAAAACUGAUGAUCUUGAGUCCGGAAGAGGAUGGCGGAAUUCCCAGUGUAGAGGUGAAAUUCGUAGAUAUUGGGAAGAACACCGGUGGCGAAGGCGGCCAUCUGGUCCGGGACUGACGCUGAGGCGCGAAAGCGUGGGGAGCAAACAGGAUUAGAUACCCGUGUAGU
rnacentral:rRNA from 1 species